rfam:Brenneria goodwinii strain OBR1 genome assembly, contig: Contig
UCAGGUUGGUGGCGCUCUUCCCUUACGCGGGUGGAGUAAUCACGCAUAGCUAUUAUCAUACAUGCAGAUAUUCCCAGGCCCGCUUAUUAAGCGGGCUUUUUCAU